rnacentral:rRNA from 1 species
UGGGGAAUCUUGCACAAUGGGGGAAACCCCGAUGCAGCGACGCCGCGUGAGCGAUGAAGCCCUUCGGGGUGUAAAGCUCUUUCGGCAGGGAAGAUGAUGACGGUACCUGCAGAAGAAGCGCCGGCUAACUACGUGCCAGCAGCCGCGGUAAUACGUAGGGCGCAAGCGUUGUCCGGAAUUAUUGGGCGUAAAGGGCGCGUAGGCGGCUCUGUUUGUCGCGUGUGAAAGCCCCGGGCUCAACCUGGGAGGUGCGCGCGAGACGGCGGGGCUGGAGUUCGGGAGAGGAGCGUGGAAUUCCCAGUGUAGAGGUGAAAUUCGUAGAUAUUGGGAAGAACACCGGUGGCGAAGGCGGCGCUCUGGACCGAGACUGACGCUGAGGCGCGAAAGCGUGGGGAGCAAACAGGAUUAGAUACCCUGGUAGUCCUAGCCCUAAACGAUCAGGACUUGGGGUGGCGCCCGUUCGGGCGUCGUCCCGGAGCUAACGCGUUAAGUCCUGCACCUGGGGAGUACGGUCGCAAGACUGAAACUCAAAGGAAUUGACGG